rnacentral:lncRNA from 1 species
UAUGACAUAUCUCUCAAGACCUUGGUUGUCCAUAGUAGUAAAUAUUGCAUCGAUGCUUAAAAAUAACUUUGUGGUGAGUAAACAUAAAACCUGAAGUUUUAUUCAUCCAUGCUCAUAACAAACCACAUUGAUGGAUGUUUUUGUACUUCCAUUUUCUUUUCUCUAUUUGCAUAUACCACACUUUUUAGUGCAAACUACCGGUGUACAUGGUAGUACAGGUAAGUACUAGAAUACAUCAUUAAUGCUAAAGUACAAUAAGUUGCCACAAAUCAAUAAUAAAAGGGUGGUACCUCUCAUUAUUUCCUCAUGCAUUGUUACAAUUACUCUUGCAUAAAAGCAACAUACUAAACUUUGGUAAGGUACACUUUAAUUUGUUUGAUUGCUUUUUGGUUGAGCAAGAUUAAUUUCAUCUAACCAAUUUUCUAGGUUCAACAAACAAGUUGAAUAUUUAGAAGAUUUGAAGUAUUUUUUUUUGCGCAAGUAAAUUUCUUGCUCCUGAAAUAUUAGGAAUUUUGUUACUAGGUAAUUUGUCUUUUCUAAAAUGUUGCUACACUAGCAAUCACACAUAGGAAACUAUAAGCGUGAAAUGUAGAAUUGCAAAAUAUAAGUGUAAUUUUGGCUUCGCCACUGAGCUCAUAAUAUUAGUGUAACUCAUUGCUUUUAUAUCUUAUAAGCAAAACAAAUAUAUGCACCAACAACAUAUAUCAUACAAGUCUUGGCCACUAAUGCUUUGUCAUUUGCUCCUACAUAUUUAUUAGUCUAUAGUUAUCAAGCUAAAAGAAAACAAAACCAUCCACACAUCUAAGCAAUGUAUUUUAGGAUUAGGGCUGUCAACAUGUUACAACCAAGUGAGCCAAUCAGGUUUUGCUUGAGAUCGAUUUACGAGUGGAAUUUUAGUGGUCCAAAAAAUACACUUAAUUAGCUUGUUUAUAAUAUAAUAAUAAAUUUCAUUGUUCCAUUCAUUUCAAAUUAGUUAUCAUUUUAGUAUUGUCCUAAGGCAAACGUAUCUAUUCUUGACAAUUAAUUUCUAGAAAAUCGUAUAGGUUAACACCAUGUGAAUUAUAUAUUAUGAAAGUAUAUAUCAAGGCUAAUCUACAAACAUAAAUCUUAUGAUAUUAAACUACAUGAAUGUCUAGAAGUUGAUGGCAAAAUAUACAAAUGUUUAAAUUAAAACAAACCUAGAAUAAGAAGUAAUUUGAAACAGAGGGAUUACUUAAUUAAAAUGAAUAAAUAUUUGACUUGAGUGGUUAGUAACUAAGCUGAUUACUGCUUAUAAAAAAUGCAAUGGUUGACUUGAUAUGUAUCAUGGGUCUUGUUGGCAUAUUAAUUAUGAUUGGUUAAUGUAGGUUUUCUUGGGCACAAAAACGCCAACAUGCGUUUUUCUUUCCAGGUAAAUUUACGACAUCACUAUUAUGCAUAAGUAACAAAAAAUCAUCAUUGCUUUAAUAGACCACGUGGCUGGUUAAAUGCACCAAGUCUUGAGCUUUGUGAUAGUUACCUCGUAUUUUGAUUUUAUCUGGAUAUUUAUUUCUAUCCCUUAAUGUUAGUGAUUUAUCAAAAGUAGUGAUUAGUGGGUGUUGGAUGCUCCUUCAUAGCUUAUACCAAUACACGAUUAAUUGUGAAGGAACCAUAACUCUGAUCUUUCUAUUGUUUGCAUCAUUGUUGUCUGCCAUCUUUUCGAUGUGUUCUCAUUGUUACAUUUUUGUACGCAGGUGACCAAAUGGUGUUCUUCAUUUUGAUUAUUAUUGAAUUUUUGGAACUCAUUUGGACCUUCAAACCAUUUCUGACCAUGCCAUAGCAAUUCUCUUCAACCCCAAGUAAUCAAGCUUUCAGAUCAUCGAUAAGUUGGGUGGCAUGUCAUGUUUAUACUGCACAUAUGCUUGUUUGGGUAUUUGGAUGGUAGCUAAUGAAGAUUUAUGCAUAUUUGAGGAGCAAUACUUAUGUAUCCUAUCAUGUAAUUGUAGAUAACAUACUAAUACUUAUCCAACUACAUGUGAGAUGUAUUUAAAUGACCUUUCUCCUUUGGUUUGUAAAAUUUAAAUACUCGAUUUUUCA